GGCCGGGUCCCACGCAACGGGGAGCUGUGAAUCUGGUCAGGCCCGGAAGGGAGCAGCCAUAAGCAGAAUUCUUUGUGUGCCGUGGGGAUACUCGGCCACC
rnacentral:SRP_RNA from 1 species